rnacentral:rRNA from 1 species
AUUGAACGCUGGCGGCAUGCUUUACACGUGCAAGUCGAACGGUAACAGGCCGCAAGGUGCUGACGAGUGGCGAACGGGUGAGUAAUGCAUCGGAACGUGCCCAGUCGUGGGGGAUAACGAAGCGAAAGCUGCGCUAAUACCACAUACGAACUAUGGAUGAAAGCGGGGGACCGGAAGGCCUCGCGCGAUUGGAGCGGCCGAUGUUGGAUUAGGUAGUUGGUGGGGUAAAGGCUCACCAAGCCAACGAUCUGUAGCUGGUCUGAGAGGAAGACAAGCCACACUGGGACUGAGACACGGCCCAGACUCCUACGGGAGGCAGCAGUGGGGAAUUUUGGACAAUGGGCGCAAGCCUGAUCCAGCAAUGCCGCGUGCAGGAAGAAGGCCUUCGGGUUGUAAACUGCUUUUGUACGGAACGAAAAGGCUCUGGUUAAUACCUGGGGCUCAUGACGGUACCGUAAGAAUAAGCACCGGCUAACUACGUGCCAGCCGCCGCAGUAAGAC